AUUGAACGCUGGCGGCAGGCUUAACACAUGCAAGUCGAACGAGCGGCGGACGGGUGAGUAAUGUAUGGGGAUCUGGCUGAUAGAGGGGGAUAAAUACGGGAAACGGUGGCUAAUACCGCGUACUAUAGGAUGAGCCCAUGUGGGAUUAGCUAGUUGGUGUGGUAAAGGCUCACCAAGGCGACGAUCUCUAGCUGGUCUGAGAGGAUGACCAUCCACACUGGGACGGAGACACGGCCCAGACUCCUACGGGAGGCAGCAGUGGGGAAUAUUGCGCAAUGGGGGCAAGCCUGAUGCAGCCAUGCCGCGUGUAUGAAGAAGGCCUUCGGGUUGUAAAGUCCUUUCGGUAGGGAGGCGUUACCUACAGAAGAAGCACCGGCUAACUCCGUGCCAGCCGCCGCGGUAAUUC
rnacentral:rRNA from 1 species